UUGAUUGGUUGAAAGGCAUUAUUCAGAAAGAAUCAAUCAGGAAAGGGCAGGCAAACGGAGGCAGAAGUUCUCCUUCUGGGUCACGGGUUUCAUCCAAAACCAGCGGUCCCGUCUUUCAGUCCUUAGCCUGUUUUAGACUUGAAGGAUAGCCACUGAGCAAGCCUGUAAGGCUAUUGGUCUGCCCAUUCUGGUUUCUUCACCAAUGAGAAAACUGGGACCUGGGGAGUUUGCAGAAGCCAUCCAAGGGCACCUGCUUCUCACAGCACAGCAGCUUCCUGCAGCCCUCCCUCCUGUCUUGUUUCUCCCUUAAUUGAGAGGAGAGGCCAGAACCAGAUGCAGGCAGUUCCAACAGUAAUGAAUUGCUCUAAGGUGUGGAUCCAAGAACCGGUGACAAGGUCAGGAAAUUCCAUCCCGGGACACUGACCCAACUAAGAGACUGUGCAUGAUGGCUAAGUUCAGAGCUCUGAGGAGAUGGUAAAACUCAUUUGCAACGAAACAAGAUAUUUUCCAACUCUGCAGCCAGAAACCAUCCUCCUGGCUGUCUCACCAUCAGCGCCACCUCUCCGUGGGUCUGGAGUCUUGAGGAGCCAGGACUGGACUGGGAUGUAAGGUUGGGUCUUCCGAGCUGUAGAUGGGAGCAGGAAGAUGUAUCUCCAUUCACGAUCUCAGUACAAGGCUCAGCUAUCUCCCGGCAACUCGCCCAUCAUCUGUUUCUGAGUUCUUCUGACAUACAGGUUCUUUGGAGGCGGCAUCAAGAAAAUACAUUUGGACAAAUCCUUCAUCUCAAAUAUUUUCCCCUCAUGAAACCAAAGGCAUUGCUCCAAAGUCAUUUCCAUUAAUUAGACAUGCAUCUUGUAUGACUGAAGGAGAAUCUAGUCCACAAACUCUGGGUUAAUUUUCUCUUCUGACAUCUGUGUGUAGUGUUUCUCUGAGGAGCUGAAUUAUCUGCUCUCCAGUGCCUUCCUCUCGGUGUUUUUUGGCCAGGAGCAAGGAGACAGGCAGCUGCAUUCUGGGAGCAGCAAGCAAUUCUGAGAACUGGAGCUGCUUAGGUUCUUUCACUUCUGCUUCAAAGGAAUACGUUGAGUUUGCAGAGAAUGAAGGAGAGAAAGACUCCAAGUUCCAAGCAGGGUCUUGGGGUAGUCUCUGAGCAUCCCAAUGUACUUACUUCCUCCCCACAGCUUCCUCACUGGGCUCCCAGCCACCAGUAUUUGUCUCUUUAAUCCCCCAACACAGAGCUACUAGAUGGAUUUCUUUCUUUCUUUUUUGUUUCUUUCUUUCGAUCGAUUUCUCUUUCUUUCUUUCUUUCUCUUUCCUUCUUUCUUUUCUUUCCUUUUCUUUUCUUUCUUUCUUUUUCUUUCUUUUACAUCUUCCUUCCUUCCUUGCUUCCUUUCUCUCUCUUUUUCUUUCUUUUAUGGUUUUUUUUUUGUUGUUGUUGUUGUUGUUUUUAGACAGUCUUGCUCUGUCACCCAGGCUGGAGUGCAGUGGUGCAAUCUCGGCUCACUGAAGUCUCAACCUCCUAGGCUCAAACAGUCCUCCAACUUCAGCCUCCCAAGUAGCUGAGACUACAGAUCAGCAAUCUGGCUAAUUAAAAAAAAAUUUUUUUUAGAGAUGGGGUCUUACUAUGUUGCCCAGUCUGGUCUUGAACUCCUAGCCUCAAACAGUCAUCCUCCCUUAGCCUCCUAAAGUGCCGUGAUUAUAGGCGUGAGCCACCAUGCCCAGCUGGAUUUUUUCUUUUAACUGUAGUUUUAUCAUGUUCUUUUUGCUUAAAAUAAACUUUUCUGAAGUAAAUUCUGGACUCUGCAAGGUCUUUGUUCUAUUUGUUAUGGUGUUUGGGCAAGCCCUCUGUUUUCCUGUCCAGAGCAGGCCUGGGACCUUUGCCUUCGGUGGCUUUCCUGGGAUCCCCCACUACCCAGAAGAGCAGGGCUAUUGCCUCUGCUCGUCCCCAGAUCCCAACCCUCCAUGGGCCUGCCCUGGAUCCUUGCUGUUGGAGGGGAGGCACAACUUCACCUCUACCCUCAUAGGGAUUUUUGGCUGCACCUGC
rnacentral:lncRNA from 10 species